rnacentral:rRNA from 1 species
GACGAACGCUGGCGGCGUGCCUAAUACAUGCAAGUUGAGCGCUGAAGGUUGGUACUUGUACCAACUGGAUGAGCAGCGAACGGGUGAGUAACGCGUGGGGAAUCUGCCUUUGAGCGGGGGACAACAUUUGGAAACGAAUGCUAAUACCGCAUAAAAGCUUUAAACACAAGUUUUAAGUUUGAAAGAUGCAAUUGCAUCACUCAAAGAUGAUCCCGCGUUGUAUUAGCUAGUUGGUGAGGUAAAGGCUCACCAAGGCGAUGAUACAUAGCCGACCUGAGAGGGUGAGCGGCCACAUUGGGACUGAGACACGGCCCAAACUCCUACGGGAGGCAGCAGUAGGGAAUCUUCGGCAAUGGACGAAAGUCUGACCGAGCAACGCCGCGUGAGUGAAGAAGGUUUUCGGAUCGUAAAACUCUGUUGGUAGAGAAGAACGUUGGUGAGAGUGGAAAGCUCAUCAAGUGACGGUAACUACCCAGAAAGGGACGGCUAACUACGUG